rnacentral:tRNA from 8 species
ACGAGUGUAGUGUAGUGGUUAUCACCAGGCGUUGCCAACGCUUGAACGCGGGUUCAACUCCCGCCGCUCGUA